ACUCACACACACACACACACACACACCCCUCUACCCCACAACUUUCCAUGCAAUGUCUGUGAUGUUCUGUUUGAAGGAAACAGCUCAUUAUUUCAGGUAGAAAAUAUUGCAAAGUAUUGUGUGUGUGUGUGUGUGUGUGUGUGUGUGU